rnacentral:rRNA from 1 species
GUAUACCUACGGGACGCAGCAGUCGGGAAUAUUGCGCAAUGGAGGAAACUCUGACGCAGUGACGCCGCGUAUAGGACGAAGGUCUUCGGAUUGUAAACUAUUGUCGUUAGGGAAGAGAGAGGACAGUACCUAAGGAGGAAGCUCCGGCUAACUACGUGCCAGCAGCCGCGGUAAUACGUAGGGAGCAAGCGUUAUCCGGAUUUAUUGGGUGUAAAGGGUGCGUAGACGGGAAAUUAAGUUAGUUGUGAAAUCCCUCGGCUCAACUGAGGAACUGCAACUAAAACUGGUGUUCUUGAGGUUUGGAG